CCCAUCCUCAUCUGGCAUGUUAUCCACAAAUUCUGCCGCAUUCACUAUACCAAUCACAACGUAAGCCUUGAGCGGUCCAGUAAACAGGGGCCAGUACCGGCCGUUCUGCCUGAAUCUGGAACAUAAAGAAAGAGCACAAGUAAAACAACAAGGAAAACACUUUUAACUCUACUUACCUCUCAAGAUGCGAAUGUCUUGUGGCCUCUGUACCCUUCCUCAUCAGUUGAAAAAACCAGCCAAACUGUGCCAAAUAGUAAUCAGCGAAGCCUUUGACAC
rnacentral:lncRNA from 1 species